rnacentral:lncRNA from 1 species
UAAAAUCAAGUAAAACAAUUAGUUGAGUCAUUGAGAGUCAAAAGUUGGUUUUAGAGGUAUUAUGCUUGGUUUUACAUUGUUUUGCAGGGUUUUGAGGUGAUUUGAAGAUGGAAGUGAAGUAAGGUGGACUUGUGCUCGUGAAAGAUGAAGAAAAAGGAUGAAAAGAAGAGCCAAAGGAAAUGAUGAGCGCUAGAACGGACCGCUGAGUGCCCAGUGCGAUUAGAGCCAAACCGCUGAGCGG